rnacentral:rRNA from 1 species
GACGAACGCUGGCGGCGUGCUUAACACAUGCAAGUCGAACGAAGUGGCGAACGGGUGAGUAACGCGUAAUCAACCUGCCCUUCAGAGGGGGACAACAGUUGGAAACGACUGCUAAUACCGCAUACUGAAGGAGGGGAUUGCGUGUGGUUAGCUAGUUGGGGGGUGAACGGCCCACCAAGGCGAUGAUCAGUAACCGGUCUGGAAGGGAGAACGGCCAAAUUGGGAAUGGGACACGGGCCAGACUUCUACGGGGAGCAGCAAGGGGGAAUCUUCCGCAAUGGGCGAAAGUCCGACGGAGCAACGCCGCGGGAGUUGUGAAGGGCUUCGGGUUGGAAAGCUCUGUUAAGCGGGACGCGGUACCGGAAUAGAAAGCAACGGCUAACUACGUGCCAGCAGCCGCGGUAAUAC